rnacentral:misc_RNA from 1 species
UCCGGUUUGUCACCGGCGGUAUCCUAUGAGUCCCCAACUUAAUGCUGGCAACUAGGGACAAGGGUUUCGCUCGUUAAGGGACUUAACCCAACAUCUCACGACACGAGCUGACGACAGCCAUGCACCACCUGUGAUGGCGUCCCGAAGGAAAGGUGUGUUUCCACACCGGUCACCAACAUGUCAAGCCCAGGUAAGGUUCUUCGCGUUGCGUCGAAUUAAACCACAUGCUCCGCUGCUUGUGCGGGUCCCCGUCAAUUCCUUUGAGUUUUAGCCUUGCGGCCGUACUCCCCAGGCGGGGCACUUAAUGCGUUAGCGCCGGCACGGGGGGAGUCGACACCCCCCACACCUAGUGCCCAUCGUUUACGGCGUGGACUAC